ensembl:lncRNA LINC01579 long intergenic non-protein coding RNA 1579
GGAGUCACGCGAAGUCGGAAGUACCAGCUGCGGGAAGGAGCUGCCCACUGUGCGUCUUCUCAACUUGUUGGGACAACCUUCCUGCGGAAAGGAGAGACAACCUUCCUGCAGAAAGGAGCUACCUGCUUCAGGUCUACUGAGAGCUGUUCUGCCACUCAAUAAAGCUCUUCUCCAUCUUGCUAAGCCUCCAUUUGUCCGCAAUACCUCAUCUCCCUGGACGCAGGACAAGAACUCAGGACCCGCCUGGAGGACUGACAUUCAGACGUGGAGCAAGUUGGACUGCAUAGGGACCCACCAGUGAGAUGGACGCUGUCUGUAAACGGGGAAAUUUAUGGAAAGAUGUCCUCCUGCAACUGCUGAAAAUGCAACAUGCUGCCCAGGUCCUGCUCAGACCACUGACAACUCAGAAGUUAAUACUCAGAGUGGAAAGCCUUCUGGAGGUGAGACCCGGGAACACCAGGCAGAAAAAGCAGGAAGAUCAUUCUUCAGGGAGCUUGUGUGCCUGCCUGAAAAGCUGGCUAGGCAUUCAUCAAUUGACAGGUUUCUGCAGUUGGAGCGUAAUCUCCCUGGAAUGCUCUGAAUCUUAUCCUUCACGUGACCUUGUAAGAAACCAGAGUAUGCACAGAUUCAAUAUGGGAAGUGCUCAGCAACCUGUUUCAAAGCUCUCGGUAAAAGUUUGCAGGGAUCAAAAGGAGUGGGUGACUUCAAUUAAAUCACCCUUGGAACCUGGUGUUAUGUUCCUUAAGGAUCAAGACAUCUCAGCUGUUUUAUUUUAAAAAAAUGUAUUUGGCAUCUAACUAACAAGAGAUAAAACCUGAGCAAGGAGACUCGCUCUCUGUCCCAACCUUGAGGCGUGGAGCCCAGUCUUUCAGAUUAUGUUCAUCUAGGGCCAUGCUGCAUGGAUUUUUACCCCAGUUGUGAGAUCUUGGUGCAGUUACUAUCUCAAUUCUUCAGUUUCCACGUUGUAAAAUGGGGUUGAUAGCAGCAUUCACCUGGGAGCACUGUCAGGAGAAAAGAAGAGGAUUCACAUAGUGAGCCUGCGCUGAGUCCACAGAGGCUGCUGCCCGGAGCUGAGCUGGCUGUGCACCAGCAAACCUCCAGGAAGGAUCCUUCACCAAGACUAGGAUAUGAAUAGCACCCCCAAGAAUUGUGGGAAAAGACAACCCUAUUACCUGUGCUCAUUGCCCCAGAACAAACAGUGAAAUUAUUACAAAAUGUAUUAUUACAUCAUCCAUGUCCUGCUUUAUACGGUGAGUGACACAAACAAACCUGGACACACAUGGAACAAUUCUCAGGGCAAUUGUUCUGAAAAACAGGAUACUUUUUCCAUUGAUCAAAUGGAAACAGUGAGGAGCAACGUGAUUCAUUUUGAGGAUAAUCCUCAUACCUUUUAUUUCUUUCAAAGGUUACACAUAAAGUCGGGCACUGCUUAAUGACAGGGAUGUGUUCUUUGAAAUGCAUCACUACAUGAUUUUGUCCUUGUGGGAACAUCUUAGAGUGUACUUACACAAACCUAGAUGGUAUAUCUCAUUACACACCUAGGCCACAUGGUGUAGCCUAUGGCUGCCCAGCUAAAAACCCGUACAACAUGCUACUUUGCUGAAUACGGUAGAUGAUUGUCACACAGUGGUAUUUGUGUAUAUCUAAGAUAGAAAAUGUACAGUAAAAAUAUGGUACUAAAAAAAUGGUCCACCUUUUUAGGGCACUUACUAUGAAUGGAGCUUGAAGGACCGGAAGUUACUCUGGGUGAGUCAGUGAGUGAGUGGUGAGUGAAUGUGAAGGCCUAGGACAUUACUGUACACUACUGUAGACUAUAAACACUGAACAUAUAGACCACACCAAACUUAUUUAAAAAUAAAGUAAUUGCACUGACCAUGUCACUAGGCCACAGGAAUUUUCCAGCUCCAUUAUAAUCUUAUAGAGUCACCAUGAUAUAUGUAGUUCAUCAUCGACAAAAAUAUCAUUAUGCAGUGUGUGACUGUAUUUCAAAUGAAUCUUCUCAGACUGCUUUCAGGAUUCCUAUGUAGAAGUUACAGAAUGACUAUAUCUCUUGUUAAUUCACCACUGCUGUAAAAAGAGAAUCACCUAGCUUGCCACAAAAAUUCUUUGGCGAUUGUUACAAAACAGACUUUCCUGAAAUCAUGUGGUAUUCAAGAAGCUCUUUGUAGCAAAGGAAUAGAUAAGACAAAAGCACAUGUGGAAGGCAGAUACACCUCGCUAAUGGAACAGGCAUCUUGCUGGACUGUGGGGGGAGGAGUGUGUUACUGAAGGAGGAGCUUUCAUCAGGAAGUAGUCGUCCCUCAUUAUCCAUAAGGGAUUGGUUCCAGGAACCCCAGGGAUACCAAAAUCCUCAGAUGCUCAAGUCCCUGAUAUAAAAGGGGGCAGUAUUUGCAUAGAAUCUAUGCAUAUCUUCCUGUAUACUUUAAAUCAUUUCUACAUUACUUAUAAUAUCAAAUAUAAUGUAAAUGUUAUGCAAAUAGUUAACUUAUAUUGUUUAGGGAAUAUAUUUCCCUAACUUUUUUUCAACAAGGAAAAAAGUAUGUACAUAUGUACUACAGAUGCAUUUUUUUUCACCGAAUAUUUUCAAUCCUUGGUUGGUUGAAUCUACAGAUGCAGAACCCAUGGAUACAAAGUGUUGACUGUAUGGCAUUCAAAGGGAUACAGAGAAAAGAGAGAAGUAGAACAUACUGAUAGAGGUUAGAAGAUUAUUUUAAAGAAAGACCAGAAGAGUGGACAACUAGCAACUUCUUUAGGAAGAGCCAGACUGCCUGUGAAGGUAUAAAUUUAACCUGAAGCCAACUGGAAUCUUGAGACUCAGGAAGAAAAGAACCUGUGUUCUUAAUCACAUGCAAGACAGACAGGUUCCAAGUCAUUACUAGAAGGCUAUUGGGCAGGCAGGGAGGCUGGAAGACCUGGCUUGCAAGAUGAACUUGAAGGCUGUACAUCAGAUGCAGAGUCAAGACCACAGAAGCAGAGUGGCUAGAAUGAUGUCACCAGCACCAGUGGCCUGCUCGCUCAGUGCUGCUUGGGCUGUGCUCUUGGUGUCCCCAUUUCUACUGGGCGUAUUAGGGCCCAAUACCUGUGUUUUGUGCGAGUUGCUUAAGAAUCACUAUCCCAGAAGAAAACAUCCAAUGGGCUAACCACAGACUAUGAGAACAUGUUCUAGCUUCCAGGGGACAGCAAAAGAGAGAAAUGGAGUCUUUGGGCAUCGGUACAGAGAGGUAGGCCUCUGCCUUCUGCCAAGACUUUCAAUCAAGAAUCUCCCAGAGAAGGAGAGGUGUUUGGUUGCUGGAUGUCCUCAACAAACAAAUGAGCAACAAACCAAUACCCAUAAAGACCUGCACUAUUUUGUAGAAAAAUAGGAGACGUGAGCAACUUAUCAAUGUCAAAGAGUGUAUAUGUAGACCAUGGCCUUGAAUGUCCAUGAUCUCUGUAUAGCAGCACAGGACAAUUAACAAUGAGAUAAUUAACAAGAGACAA